GAAAAUUAAAUUUUCAGAUCUCGUGCCCUUCACUCUGCCAUUUUGCUUCUCGGGCCCUUAUUUCUUCCAAUCUUCGUCGAUUCUGCUUCUCAUGCCCUUCACUCUGCCAUUUUGCUUCUCGUGCCCUUAUUUCUUCCAAUCUUCGUCGAUUCUGCUUCUCAUGCCCUUAACUCUGCCAUUUUGCUUCUCUUGCCCUUAUUUCUUCCAAUCUUCUUCGAUUUUGCUUCUCGUGCCCCCUUCCCGGAAACUCCAUGAAAGGUCACCUUGUACCAUUGGUGGUUAAUUAAAGCCAAAAAUGACUUCCCCAUGAAAGUGUUUAGCCGUCACUGGUGUCUGGUCAAGAAAGCUGGUGACUCAAGCUUUGCAAAAGAUGAAGGGGAAGAUUCUAGAGAUUGCGGGCUCUCACACCUCAUCUUGGGUUCUUCUGUCUAAAAAGAGCAAUAAUCUAUGGAUGAGACACGCGACCUAGUUGCCUUCGUUGCAUGUCUUAAGCUUUUGACUGUUGGCGUGUGGUUACUGUUGAUGUUGCAUGCUGAAUGGGAAGCAACUAGCAAGCCAGCUAGCAAAUUAACAAGUGGAGAUGUUGUAUUAUGUGCAAGGCAAGAAGAAGUGAAGACAAGGCUAAUUAUGAAAACAAAACUUGUUGGCUGCAUGGUUUAGAAUGAAGUAUUCUUAUGUUGCCAUUGGAGCCUCGACAUCCUCUGCUCCAAUCCUCCAAUUCUGGAUUUUGUUUCACCCUAUACCUACACUGAUAUCAUCACUCAAGACUAUAAGGUCGCCUAGCCACUCUCCAAUCUCCAUCAUCAUUAUGGGUGAAGUUUACCCCAAUUAAUACAGUUCCACUGCAAUGAAACAAUGAGAAUUCACCGCUUUCACAAACACUUUGAAUUUGGGAAUUCCAGACAUAGAGUGGAGCUGAAACCAUCAGGUGCUUGAAGAAGGUCAUUGGAUGCUUAGCCUUGAGCUGGGCUACCCUUGUUUUGUUCUUCUAGAGAAGAGGCUGAGACUUCAUUACUGUUGUUACAUAGUAUUAUUGUAUCAUUUGUUGUCUUUUUUGGACCCUGUCGGGGGGCUAAAAUUAAAUUUAUUACCACUGUUUUCUUCAAUCUCUUAUUACUUUAUAAUUGAUGAUGUUUUUUAACACUAUUAUUAUUUUUGUACUCCUUGCUCCCUUGCCUCGUGUUCAUGUAUGUUGUGUUUUACCUUUGGCUUGCUUGAAGAGGGUAGGCACUGACACAAGGAUGCCUUUCUAUUUUUUUUUUAUUCUACUUGAGUUUGUGGUAAACAUUCUAUCCUUGGUAUGGGCUUAGAUUUCUUUGAUUUGUAUGAUAAAGUGAAAGCUACAUACAUGGUUUUGAUGAUGGUUCUGAUCUUGGCUCAUGGUUUUGCACCCUUUGUAAUGAAUUUUUUAAAUUAUCUAAUGUAGGGGGUGGUUUAUUGGCAGCCUCCCAAGGAAGCAUUGGAAAAGGUGAAAGAACUUGUAUCUGAGACUUUAAUUAGUCGUUAUGGUAACGAUGAAGGGAGAUAUGAAUGACCCUGAAGUAUUUCCCUUUGUAUUACUUGGGAACAAGGUUGAUAUAGACAGUGGAAACAGUAGAAGGGUCACUGAGAAAAAAGCUAGAGACCGGUGUGCUUCCCGGGGAAACAUACCAUAUUUUGAGACCUCUGCGAAAGAGGGCUACAACAUUGAAGAGGCUUUUUCAUGUGUUGCCAAAAUUGCACUAGAAUAUGAACAUGAUCAAGACAUAUAAGGAUCCUGCAAGGUCAUGGUCAUAGGAUAACAACCAUUGCAUGGAAUGGUCAAAUUUUAACUUCUGGAAGCCACGACAAAUAUAUAAUCAAUCAUGAUGGGUAUCCCUUCAUAUACUCCUCGCCUACUUUCAAUAAACUUAAGAGAAAGAAGAUAUGAUGCUUUCCCCAUGCAAUCUUGUAGUUCUGUUGGAAGCUAACUUCAAAAGCUUCUCUAGCAUAAGCUAUACCCAGUGCCACAAAGAGAAGAAGGACAAAGCAGAAGCUGCAAAUUAAAUAGUUUCCCGGUUUAUAAAUUACCAAAAAAGCAAAAAGAAUUUACAGACAAAAAAGCUCUUCGUACUGUAUAUACUCUAACUAAGAUACUUAGAUAUACAUGCGUACGCACUUACUUUUGUUGCUUCUGCAGUUGAGCCAUUAUGUCAAACAAAGUAGGCACCACUAUUUUUGUGUGGCCCGUUUCUUGUGAUCAUUGUAAUUUAUAUAUAGCAAUGAAUAUGGAUUAUAUAGAGUAUCACAGGGUAAUGAAUCUUAACUACAUUUCCAUGUCAAAGAAAAACUUUGGGUGAGAUUGAAGUGAAAGUGUAAAGUGAAAGAUACAUUUGAUUAAAGCAAAACACAAGUUGUGGCUCAUAA